ensembl:lncRNA
GUAGUUCGCGGGAGGUUGUGAUCAUAUAUAUUUUCAGAAGUCUGCCCUUCAUCUGUCUGCUGGUGGUGUUCUUUUACCUAAACAGGGACAAAAAACAAGUCACAGCAUCAAGACCAGAAAGUCAGGAGUCAGGAGAAAAAACGGAUGAAGACCUGGAGGCCGGAGAGACACAGAGGAGUGAAACUGAAGUAGCGAAACAGGGUGAGAAUGUUUCUGAACAGGAGAAAAGGAGGGUCAACAACCAGAAACCUGAAGUUACUACUGCAGCAACAGAAGAAGAAAAAGAAAAUGAAGAAAAACAGAUUGAUGUAGUUGUAGACACUGAACAAGGUACAUCUCCAAUGCGUGACGAUGAAAAAAACAAGACUGAAUCUGUUCUGAACACUGAUGAAAAGACAUCUAAUGACUGAUGCUGAAGAAGUGACUGUUUCUGUGCUGGGCGGCUUUGUUUCAGCUCUGUGAGACAUACAGGAAAUGGAGUUAUGGGUGUGUUGUUCAGGUCUAUGAUGCCACUUCCUGCAUAAUUGCUUGUUUGCAGACUCAUAAUGGUUUGCAAUGAUUUACACUGAAUCCUGAAAGUAGGUGAAAUAUAGUAUGUCUUGUGCAUGCAUGAAUCUUUCUGUUGGAUUGUGUGUAUUGUGGGAUUGUGUAUAUGGUUGUUUUUCAGUGUGUCUUGGGUGAAUCGAAUGUGAGAUCAGUGUUGUGGUUUACUGUGGGCUUCACUGUGAUAAAAUUAGUUGCGUGGGGAGGGGGUGAAAUUCUGAGAGUACGAGUGUCUCAUGCGUGUGAAAGGUUAUUAUGUGGGAGUAAAGCAGAGUUCAGAUUCUCUGCAGAUGCUCAGAAAUGAAGUGUUCCUCCAGACUCCUGUGUGGGCUCCUCGUGUCAUGCCUUUAUUUCAGAGUGUCAAGUGAGAAUCUGUCUGUGACUCAGACUCCAUCCAACAUCACUGUGAAUGAAGGAAAAUCUGCUCAAAUCAAAUGCUGCUGGAAUAUACAGAAUGUUAAAGUUGCUUGGUACAUCAAUGAGAAAAAACAAAACCAGGAUCUCAAAGGACAUGAACCAUGUGCAAUUCUGAACCUCACAAACAUACUUAAAAAUGCUUCAGGUCAUUAUGUUUGUGGAGUGACUCAAGACAUACCAUUCCUGCUUCAGAAGAAUGGUAGUGGAACAGUCAUAACUGUCAGCGACAUAGAUAACAAAACAGAGACUGUUUCUAGCCGGCCUCAAACUACUCAGACUGCACACAGUGACACUUCACCUCUAUCUCUGCCUUUGUCUCUGGCUGCUGCCGUCGGCCUGCUGACCCUCUGCUUGGCCUUCAGUGUGUGCAAGAUGAGAAACUCCUGUAAAAAAUCAGAGCGAGUGGUCAUUCACCAGACGCCUAACAGUGAGGGUGAGGAGCAUGAGCACAUGGAAGAAGAGGACGGUAGCACGGGCUCCUCUCGAGGAUCCCUCCAAUGGUAUCAAGUGCCUGUUUACUGGUCUUACUUUGAUCUACAGAGGGGUGAAGACCAGUGACAACCAGAAAGGAAAGACAAACGUGAUGUUCAGUUCACUGGAUUGCAUUUUGCAUUCUCUCCCCUUUCAUGAGAGCAUUUUUGUAAAUAGCAGAAGUGAUUUUAAUCUUCAGAUAGGCUUCUUGAAACCCUCAGUUGAAGCUCUUGAUUGUGCUAGCAGAUGUUAAUCUCUCUGUUUGUAUAGCAGCUCUAUUGAUUUGUUUUUUCUUAUUUUAAUUUCUUUUACAUUUUUUUAUGAGAGAUUUCUUUAAUUAAAAUGAAGAUGUGUCAUACUGACACGCAUGGAAAACUACUUGGAUUUCAUGCCCAGACAGAUGUAAAAAAGUUUUAUAAUAAAGAGUUUUAUGCUGUACA